CAAAGAAAUCAAUUAUGUCACUGGCAUAAGCACACACACAAGACAAUGGAACGGAAAUUGAGAGCCCAAACUAAACCCUUGCAUGAACAGUCAACUAGUAUUUGACAAGGGAGUCAAGAAUACAUAGUGGAGAAGGGUAUUCUCUUGAAUAACUGGGGCUGGGAAAAUUGGAUAUACACGUGCAUAAGAAUAAAGCUUAGCACCUUAUGUUAUACCACUCCAAGAAUUAACUUGAAAUGGAUUAAAGAUGUAAAUGAAUAGUACGGAAACCAAAUUCUUCCUCAUCGUUUCAGCUCUUACUAUGCCAAGACGGAGCUGUUGAGGUGGUGAAGGGCUGGGUGGAGAGUAGUCCUGGACAUAGAAGACUGUGUGUGUGGAACAGACUUUCUUUAGUAGUCUGGAAUUAUCCCUCUGAUUCUUUAAGACUAGCCACUUCCUUCCCCACAUUUGCAGACACAGCUAGUACCAUGCUGCCAGCAAUGCACUGCUUUGCCUCCUCCAACUCUUAGAAAUUCUAGGUGGGACCCAGUGGGAAGGGUGGAGUUUAGAAGCACUGAUGCUGCCCUGUUGACACCAGGUGGAGAGGAAGGAGACAGGUGCCAUUCGGCUUCAUUGGGGUUCAGGUGUGUUAGUGUUGGUGUUGGUGUUGAAUUUUUCACCUUUUACCCUAACACAUCUCCAAAGUUUAAUUUCUGUCCUGCAGGUCCACGUGGUUUCCAGGAUAUUUCCUCCUUUCCCAGAAGUGCCCUCCAUGUCAUACCCCGUGGGCUGACAUUUAUCACCACCCAUGGGCUUUGGACCACCCCCACCUUCUCCAAACUGGGGUCCUCUGAGACCUCACCUUCCUCCUCCACCAUGUGGAAAGAUGAUAUGACUAGUAUGAGUUGACUUAUAAAACACGUUGUGUCUUUUACUUGUUAUGUGUUUGGAGGAGAUGCAUUGAUGGCACCACAGGGCUUUCAGGUCAGCCUGAGUGAGGAUGUUGUAAGGUUCUUCAAGUUUCUCAGGACAUGCAUGAAAUGGGCAGUCAUUUCCACAUAGUGAGCUGGGCAACACGUGUCUCUGAUAGAGAAGGAAAGAGGCCUUAUACGUGCUGAGAGACAUAGCAUUCCUUGGGAUGUAGCUUGUACAGAGACCAUGUGCUGGGCUCUCUGAGGGAUGAAACACACCCCUAACAUACUUUCUAGCGAGUUGAGACCUGAGCUGCUCACAGCUGCUUGUUUAGUUACAAAAACACCUGAACCAGGGCCCUGUGAACCUUCCUCAAGGGACAGGAUCAGAUCUCCCUCUUGUCCUCAAGGGUCACCCGAGGCACGUGGAAAACGCUCUGUCCCUGGUAAGGGACCCGAGAGUGUGAAUGAGUUGAAUAUAAUGAUACAUGUUCAGGAUGGUUUGUUUUUCUUCCACACAGUCUAUGCAAGUCAGAAUCAACCUCCAUCCGCCUCCAUCCUUUAUGAGACCUAAGACGUGAUGCAGCUCCAAUGGGAAAUAUCAGUUGUGUCUCUACCAAGGAUGCAGAAAAAGACAAGAUUCAGGCUUGUUUCCGGUAAGAAACGCUGACAGAAAUUCAGAAGAACGGGAGCUGCAUUCCAUUAGGACUUGAAUACACGAAAUGUUCGUCUCAGGACCUUCUAGAAGAAUGAGCUGGGACCCACUUUCCGAGUCCUGCUGGAACCAGUGACCGAGAUAUUGCCCAGGUGGCUGAGGCCUGCACUAGGGUACCUACCUCCUUUUCGGAUAGACUGUAUUCCCUUUCCAUGUUUUAGCUGUACCUGUGACACAGGACACGAGAGAAUGUGCUCAUGUGAAUACAAGUGAAGGACACCGUGGGGACUUGCCACACAGAUAUUUGUGCCCAGGGCACACCUGAAGGGACUCUGGACAGCAUGUUUACCAAAAUGCUGAUGGGUAUGAAAUUUACAUUCUAAAGGACACAUACAAAAAUAUAAAUUGGAGUGAAGGCAGUUCGCAUUUUCAAAUUGUAACGAUACCCACAGAUUUUUCUGAGUACGUUAAAAUCCUCAAUAGAAGGAAACAGGAGAGGAAGACACAGCAAGAGCAAAGAUUCCACAUUGAGGAGAUCCACAAAGAAUGAGGCAAGAGACGCCUGUACCAACCCAUGGUGGGGGAAAAGACGAAGAUGAGAUCCUGAGCAACUUGAGGAUUGUGGUAAUGGCAGCAGACACAUUCCCCUUGCAUCACAAUGGUCUGUGGUACCGCCUCUGCACCUUGGCCCAGGACCUAACAGCAACAAAAUAAGGAUCCAAGAGAGUAGCAUCAGUACCUGAAAACUCUGUCCCUGCCACUGGAUAGCACCUACAGCUUGGGGUAGUAGAUGCAAGAGGUUAACCUACUGCCACCACACAUCACUGCCCACGUCUGUGGAAGAAAAUGGCAAUGGUCCUGUCCUAACGGGUUAACAGAAGUAAUUACAGAUUAAUGAAGUAGCAUUCUCCAGACAGGCAGCCAUCGAUGUCCAGGUUCACCCUGCAUCCCUCCUCUACGCCAACUCCAGAUGCUCUGCUUUUGCUAUAUUAAGAACACACAAAAAAUGAGUGGGAACAAAUGGCUCAUAUUCUGCUCAUGGAAUCACAGCCACUCCUGGCAAAAUAUUCUGCAGCCGGACCCUCACUGUGCCUCCUCUGCUCCUCUCCCUGAGAAAGGAGUCUUCCCUCUUGAAGUGUUGUCAAAGGCCUCGGAGACCUGUGGGCAGUGGAGGAUGCCUGGAAUCUUGCAGGGGAAGGAGAGUCUUCUGUGAAGAACGAGUUACUUGUGGUGAAUGUCUACAAAGCUCAGAUGUGUUCAUCUUAAUUCAUAGGGAAUUCUGACUUUAAGCAUACGACAGGACACAGAGUCAUUAUGUGCAAUGGAAAAAAAGAGGGAGAAUUUCACAUAACAGAUUUCACGCAAGUGUUUUGGUAUAAAACUGGUAUGUGUCAUGAGACUAUAUCAGCUCUAACAGUGACUGGGGACACAACCAGCAACUGCUCAUAGAAACACAAUUGAAGGACACAGUGUGCAAAUUGUUUUUACCUAAGGUAUAGCUGGAGGAUUCCAGACAAGUCAUUUACCGACAAAGACGGACAGGUGAUGAGUGAUGAUAUUGGCUUUCUCUGUGACCACUCUAAAUGGCACAGGGCACAUAAUAGAAAGUUGGAGUCAUGAUGUCGUUUCUAACAGGUUCAUCUCCUAGCCAGAAUCAAGAAAGGAAGACACAGCAGCCACACUGUUCCCACAGAGGUGAGGUCUGGAAAGGAUCACCCAGGCCGGGAGACAUCUGUUUGGAGUGUGCAGUCAUCCUCCUCUCAUUAUUUCCUGAACCUCACGGAAAAACCUUAAGACCACACAGGAACAGGCUGCACAGCAGAAAUUGGACUGCAGCACAUCACAACGUGCUCCUUACCUCGCCUUGGAGGGUUCUUGCAGUGAUUGGUUUCUGCCUCGUGUAUCCCUCAGGCAGCCUCUUUGCUUCCAUCCCGUCCAGUCUUGGAUACAGAAAAAUAAUGGACUUCUAUAAGAGUUGCAACACCACGUCGUCUACUAGACAACUAACAGUGCAGGCGUCAUCCCUGGAAACACCCAAGUCAAAUGACCACACCUGUAUUUCAAGGUUGCAAAGACGAGGGCCAUGAAAUGGCACUACCACGUUGAUGGGUAUGAUUCAUUGUACGACACACUGCUUUCCUACAGAUGACGACAAUUGACACCACCCCCGAGGAAUGUUAGCAUGGACAAAGUUUCCACACAGUCUGGUCACUACUUGAGAUCUGCAAAUGUUUAGAAACUUAAUUAUUUUAUUCUUUCUAAAACUUACCUUUUUUAUCUGUUAAUACUCUAUGCAUAUGUUGACUUUAAACUUUUCAAAAAGAUUAAAAACCAAAAAAUGAA